UACUAAUGAGCUGACAAUUUAAGCAGAGAAAUAGAGGAGACCACACGGAUGUUAUGCAAAAUGUUGGAAAUUGCCAAUUUUUGACGAGAAGGUGAAAUUGGAAGCUAUUCCGAACAAACUAUCACAGGUUCCAGUUCUUCUCCUUUAUAUUGGUUGCUUAUCAAUGGCGAUUACUGCUAUUACUGGCCAUAUCCUUGGAAACCUAUGCUGCUACAAUCAUUAUUUGUGUUUAUGGUUCAGAGAAUUAGAAUUUGUUGCCUCACGUCACCACUUGAGCCUAAAUUUGAGAGGGGCAAGGCAUUAUGCGGAAGCUACUGGUGCUUUCUUAUUACUCUUUCUCUAUUUCAUCGACUAUGUUCGCUUUGGUUGAAAUAUUCGUUAGUAGUCUGAAACUUGACCAGUACACUUCUGAUUCCUUCAUUAUUGAAAGGAGAUGCGGACUACUUUUAUUAUAUCAGCUAAUGCCCAAUCGUAGUCACUAAAUUGCGUAGCUAACAUGGUAUUUGUGUUGUGAUAUCAGUUAAAGAAGUUUACUGAAGGAGAUAGAAAAGACCUAAUUGUACUUCCUUUUGAAAAGAAUGGACUAGAAAGAAGUUCAUAGAAAGAAGGAGUGAUUGCUGUUGCCGAUGAGUAUACAUUGGCUAAUGAGUUGAAAGUGCUGGAAUGCUUGAAGCUCGGCUUUGCUUAUACAUAUCCUUAUUUGGUCAUGCUUGAGAAGGUUCAGAAAUGUGAAUUUGGAAAAUUAUUCUUGACAAGAAAAUUUCAUACUUGAAUUCACCUAUUUGGAUAUUAGAGCUUGCUGUUAAGAGAAGGAGGCGUGUCUAAAUUAUUGCUGCAUAUGCGGAAAGUUGCUUUGCUUAUGCCUUACAAGCAUCAUUAUGGGGUUAAGGUUCGUGUCAUUAAAGCCUUUUGUUAUGGGGUCAAUGGAAGAGACACCUUGGCGUACUUUACAGUACAUUGGGAUUUCUCUCUGUGUUCCACCCUACUUGCCACCACUACAUUAACUGAGCAUCUCAUUCUAAUACUGGUCAAAUGCCACACCAAAGUGGUUUCAAUUUUGCUGAUUCAUUUUGCAGCAUCCAUGAGGACAAAAUGCUUAUGAAGAGGGGUGGGGUGUUAUGUCUGAGAAGAAUUAGGAAAACGGAGGGAAGGGCCUGACCACACAGUUUGGGGUAAGUAGAGGCUUCUACAGUGUCGUUUGGUUAAGUGUGGAGUUAGUAGUAAAAAGGGAAUUAACAGCUAAUUGAAUUAGCAGUUAAUGCGCACGUGGAUGGCAAGGAUCAGUUACUUCAAGGCGAUGACUGAGAUCUUUCGCAAGGAGUAUAUUUCAUGUGGGAAAAUGGUGUGAUGAGUUUGGAAUAUCUAUGGUGAGUGGAGAUUGAGUCGGCUGAAAAUGGAAGUACUGUUCCAUUUCUUUUCUUUGUAACUCAUUUUCAGUUAGUUAAUUUCAGUAGAUUGUUAAUCGAGUUACUGAGUCUAUUUCGACUUGUUUGGGUUAGUCUGAAGUGCUACUUGUCAGCAUUGUUCAGAUUCUAUUGUAAUUUCCUUUUCUAACUGAUUAAUUGUAAUGAAGUUGCUUAAUUGGGUGAAUUAAAUUAUUGAGGUCAUAACAGGUGCUUCUAAGCUAUU